GAACGGUGUCUUCGGACACAGUGGCGGACGGGUGAGUAACGCGUGAGAAUCUGGCUUUAGGUCUGGGACAACCACUGGAAACGGUGGCUAAUACCGGAUGUGCCCUUAGGGGUGAAAGGUUAACUGCCUGAAGAUGAGCUCGCGUCUGAUUAGCUAGUUGGUGUGGUAAGAGCGCACCAAGGCGACGAUCAGUAGCUGGUCUGAGGACGAUCAGCCACACUGGGACUGAGACACGGCCCAGACUCCUACGGGAGGCAGCAGUGGGGAAUUUUCCGCAAUGGGCGAAAGCCUGACGGAGCAAUACCGCGUGAGGGAGGAAGGCUCUUGGGUCGUAAACCUCUUUUCUCAGGGAAGAACACAAUGACGGUACCUGAGGAAUAAGCAUCGGCUAACUCCGUGCCAGCAGCCGCGGUAAUACGGAGGAUGCAAGCGUUAUCCGGAAUGAUUGGGCGUAAAGCGUCCGCAGGUGGCUAUGUAAGUCUGCUGUUAAAGAGUCUAGCUCAACUAGAUAAGAGCAGUGGAAACUACAAGGCUAGAGUGCGUUCGGGGCAGAGGGAAUUCCUGGUGUAGCGGUGAAAUGCGUAGAGAUCAGGAAGAACACCGGUGGCGAAGGCGCUCUGCUAGGCCGCAACUGACACUGAGGGACGAAAGCUAGGGGAGCGAAUGGGAUUAGAUACCCCAGUAGUCCUAGCCGUAAACGAUGGAUACUAGGCGUGGCUUGUAUCGACCCGAGCCGUGCCGUAGCUAACGCGUUAAGUAUCCCGCCUGGGGAGUACGCCGGCAACGGUGAAACUCAAAGGAAUUGACGGGGG
rnacentral:rRNA from 1 species